AAUUGAUUAGUCUAAAAAAGACAAUUGUUUUGAAAACAAUAAAUGGCCAUUAAUAAACCCAUCAAUUU
rnacentral:tRNA from 1 species